UACGUAGGGGGCAAGCGUUGUCCGGAAUUAUUGGGCGUAAAGCGCGUGUAGGCGGCUCGAUAAGUCUGCUGUGAAAGUCCAGGGCUCAACCCUGGAAUGCCGGUGGAUACUGUCGAGCUAGAGUCCGGAAGAGGCGAGUGGAAUUCCUGGUGUAGCGGUGAAAUGCGCAGAUAUCAGGAGGAACACCAAUGGCGAAGGCAGCUCGCUGGGACGGUACUGACGCUGAGACGCGAAAGCGUGGGGAGCAAACAGG
rnacentral:rRNA from 1 species